rnacentral:rRNA from 1 species
GGAGUUUGGGCCGUGUCUCAGUCCCAAUGUGGCCGUCCAUCCUCUCAGACCGGCUACUGAUCGUUGGCUUGGUGGGCCGUUACCUCACCAACUACCUAAUCAGACGCGGGCUCAUCCUGUACCAGUAUCCCUUUUCCCCCUGAGUGAUGCCACUCUGUGGGCUUAUGCGGUAUUAGCGUACAUUUCUAUACGUUAUCCCCCUGUGCAGGGCAGAUUACCCACGCGUUACGCACCCGUCCGCCACUAGGUUAUAAAAGCAAGCUCUUAUAACCUCGUUCGACUUGCAUGUGUUAAGCGUGCCGCCAGCGUUCAUC